rnacentral:misc_RNA from 1 species
GAAAGGUUAUUAGUACAUCUUCGUGGCCUGCCUCAAAUUGUGGAAAGUUGGAAUAGGCUCGAGGAUUCUGACCCUCAGCCCAGUCAGUUUGCUCGAUCACUUACCAAGGAAGUUGGGUACCUUCAGCGUGUCUUAUCUAGAACCUUACAUGAGGCUGAUGUUCAGACGAUAUUUAGGCAAGUUGUCAAAAUCUUCCAUUCACAAAUUUCUGAAGCAUUUUCUCGAUUAGACAUAAGCACCCCACAGGCAAAGGAUAGGCUGCUUCGUGAUAUUAAGCACAUUCUUGGCUGCAUAAGAUCUUUGCCCUGUGACGAUUUGAGUAAACCUGACAUCCCAAACUGGGGGCAACUUGACGAAUUCUUGGAUCAAAGAUUCGGAUCUGAA